rnacentral:rRNA from 1 species
CCUACGGGCGGCAGCAGUGGGGAAUAUUGCACAAUGGGGGAAACCCUGAUGCAGCGACGCCGCGUGAGUGAAGAAGUAAUUCGUUACGUAAAGCUCUAUCAGCAGGGAAGAAAAUGACGGUACCUGAGCAAGAAGCCCCGGCUAACUACGUGCCAGCAGCCGCGGUAAUACGUAGGGGGCAAGCGUUAUCCGGAUUUACUGGGUGGAAAGGGAGCGUAGACGGCAGUGCAAGUCUGGAGUGAAAGGCGGGGGCACAACCCCCGGACUGCUCUGGAAACUGUACGGCUGGAGUGCAGGAGAGGUAAGUGGAAUUCCUAGUGUAGCGGUGAAAUGCGUAGAUAUUAGGAGGAACACCAGUGGCGAAGGCGGCUUACUGGACUGUAACUGACGUUGAGGCUCGAAAGCGUGGGGAGCAAACAGGAUUAGAUACCCCUGUAGUC